AUAUUUAGAUGGACUAACCUAUUUCUUUAAGGAUUCUAAGAAUCAUUCUAGUAAUGACAUGUGAUGUGGCUACAAAAAAAUGUUGUAAUGCUUCUCAAAUAAUAUAUAAGGGAUUGCCUCUAUCAUCACCCUCUUUGUCAAUACCGGUCCAAAUAUUGCCAGCUUUUCUUAUGACCCUAAGUCAAAAUAGAGAGAUUGUAUGCUAAUAUAAGAAAAAUAAUAAACAAAAAAAAAACGCACAGUAGAAUUUUUUUACAGUCACUUAUGUAGCUUAUGCUAAGGGCCGGCAAUGCUCUUUCUCCAUCUUCUCCCUCUGUAUAUAGUUUAUUUCCCUCCAUAGAAAACUACGAAACAGACAAACAAGAUUUGAGAUUCAUCAUAUAGAAAACCGGAUGGCAAUAUGCCAUCGGGCUGUCUUCAGAAUACACGUGUACUUUGCAUGUGAUCAUGAGUUAAGCAUAUGCACCAACAACGGUCUGUGACACAACAUGUCACAUGUUGCCUUAUACUUGCAAGCUGUGUGAGAUAACUAUUCUUUUCAGGUGGAGAAAACCAACACUUCACUUUUAAUUUGCCUUAAAAUUUAAAAAGGAUCUCCAGCCAAUAGAAAGUUCGGUAAUAACAUUGCGUAGAGCCGUUUUUUUUAAAUUCAAUCCGCUAUAGUUUAUUUAGAACUCUGUACAAUAUAGCAUUUUCGAAAUUAUUCUUUGGAAUAUUGAUUAUCUUACUUUCCAGUGUACUGUAGAAUUUAUCAAUAGACCGCACAGAGAUAACUAAAGCAUUUGGGCAUCAAUGACAACGUUUUCGCACCAAGGUCAUUUGUUAUCAUGUUUUAUACGUACAGAAAAAAAAUCAUAUAUGUACUUGGGGAUACUAUUUCGACUUUUAUGUACUUUACUUAAUUAUAUGGUGUUUUUUUUUUUUUUUGAUAAAAGGUUUUCAAUUAAUUAUAUGGUGUUUGUGUCCGAUAUCCAUAUAUACGCUACCAUUCGACAUAAUAAUAAACAUCCAUUGUCAACUGCUUUAUUUUUAAUUGUUUUUUAGAGUACUUGUUGGUACUGGCCCAGCGCUGUUGUAUGGUAUUGCCGUAUGGCUGGUUUAGACGUAUCAGGGUGCGGGAGUCUGCGAAUACAUAUAAUUUUGGUUUUAGGUGUUAUUAAGUAAUUCAUACGACUAAAACACAGUAAAAAUAAAUGUAUUUACAGGAAACUUAUGAACCGGUUUUGUAAACAAAUUUUAUAAACUGGUUUUGUAAAUGAGUUACAAUAUUAUUUCAAUAUAUGUAUUUAAUAAUUUAAUUUAUAUUUUUGCAAAUAGAUUUCUAUUUAAUUUAUUAUAUAUAUAUACAUAUAUAUAUAUAUAUAUAUUUUUGAAAUAGCCAUGACUAAACCAUGACUAAAUAGUGGCUAGAUAUAGCAAAAAUUAUUUUAUGGCAAAGCUGUGGAUAAAAUAGCUACAAAAAUGUUGUGAUAAAAAUAUGAAAAAAUAACCACAUUAGCCAUAAUUUGUUUCUAGCCGCAUAUUUUUUUAAUCGUGGAUCGUGGCUGUUUAUUUUGCAUAGGCACGCUUUUUGGCGUGGCUAUAUCAAAUAUUUCUAGUAGUAUUAAUUAUUAAAAAAAAAAUAGUUACAUAAAAAUAUAAAACAAAAUUUAAAUAUUUUUAAAAAUUCUAAAAAAAUCUUAUAAGAUGUUUUAUAUUUAAAAUAGUUAACUAAUUUCAUUAACAUAAAAAAUUCUGUCGAAAUAUUUGUUUUAUUAUUAUUUAAUAAUUAAAUAACUAAUUUAAAAAAUAUAAAUAAAUAAUGUGUUUAUAAUUUUACUUUUAAAAUAUAAUAAAAGUGAAAAUUUCAUUUUAAUAUAGUAUUUAAUUAUAUAAUUUAAAUAUUUAAAAUAGAAAUACAUAAAUUUUAUAAAUAUUUAGGUUAUUUUCUUUUAAUAACUUUAAAACAUGCACUAUAUAAAUACUUUAACUAUUAUUUUAUUCUUUAUUUAUAAAUUAGGUUUCGGGGUUAGAGGGUUGGUUUAGUAUUAAUAAGAGUUUAAAGUAUAAUAAGACAAAAGUAUAGGUCUGUAAACACAAAUCUAUUAUCAAUAUGACCUAAUUAGACAAUUCAUUUUCAAUUUUCUACUGCACAUGAGACAAAAAUUCUAUGCCAUAUGAGAAACUUAUUUUGUAGAGUUUAAAUUUGGUAGAGUUUUAACUUUAUUUUGAAAAUAGAACUUUUAAAGUCUA